rnacentral:rRNA from 1 species
GAUGAACGCUGGCGGCGUGCCUAAUACAUGCAAGUCGAGCGAACAGACGCGGAGCUUGCUCCUCUCACGUUAGCCGCGCAGGGGUGUGUAACACGUGGAUAACCUCCCUAUCUGACUGGGAUCACCUCGGGACACCGGAGCUAAUCCCGGAUAAUAUCUUGCACCGCAUGGUUCAUUAGUGAAAGUCGGUUUUGCUGUCUCUUCUCGAUGGAUCUGGGCCGCAUUAGCUAGUUGGUAAGGUAACGGCUUACCACGGCAACGAUGCGUAGCCGACGUGAGGGGGUGGUCGGCCACACGAGAGCUGGGACGCGGUCCAGACUCCUACGGGAGGCAGCAGUAGGGAAUCGGCCGCAGAGGGCGAAAGCAUUGCGGAGCAACGGCGCGUGAGAGAUGAAGGUCUUCGGAUCGGAAUGCUCUGUUAUUAGGGAAGAACAAAUGUGUAAGUAACUAUGCACGGCGUGACGGUACCUAAUCAGAAAGCCACGGCUAACUACGUG